rnacentral:rRNA from 1 species
GACGAACGCUGGCGGCAUGCCUAAUACAUGCAAGUCGAGCGAACAGAUGAAGUGCUCGCACUUCUGACGUUAGCGGCGAACGGGUGAGUAACACGUAAGGAAUCUACCUAUAAGCGGGGGAUAACAUUCGGAAACGGGUGCUAAUACCGCAUAAUAUCUUCUUCCGCAUGGAAGAAGAUUGAAAGACGGCUCUGCUGUCACUUAUAGAUGACCUUGCGGUGCAUUAGUUAGUUGGUGGGGUAAUGGCCUACCAAGACGAUGAUGCAUAGCCGACCUGAGAGGGUGAUCGGCCACAGUGGGACUGAGACACGGCCCAAACUCCUACGGGAGGCAGCAGUAGGGAAUCUUCCGCAAUGGGCGAAAGCCUGACGGAGCAAUGCCGCGUGAGUGAAGAAGGCCUUCGGGUCGUAAAACUCUGUUAUAAGAGAAGAACAAAUUGUAGAGUAACUGCUACAGUCUUGACGGUAUCUUAUCAGAAAGCCACGGCUAACUACGUGCCAGCCGCCGCCGUAA